rnacentral:rRNA from 1 species
AUUGAACGCUGGCGGCAGGCCUAACACAUGCAAGUCGAACGGUAACAGGAAGAAGCUUGCUUCUUUGCUGACGAGUGGCGGACGGGUGAGUAACGUCUGGGAAACUGCCUGAUGGAGGGGGAUAACUACUGGAAACGGUAGCUAAUACCCGCAUAACGUCGCAAGACCAAAAAAGGGGGACCUUCGGGCCUCUUGCCAUCGGAUGUGCCCAGAUGGGAUUAGCUAGUAGGUGGGGUAACGGCUCACCUAGGCGACGAUCCCUAGCUGGUCGUGAGAGGAUGACCAGCCACGACUGGAACUGAGACACGGUCCAGGACUCCUACGGGAGGCAGCAGUGGGGAAUAUUGCACAAUGGGCGCAAGCCUGAUGCAGCCAUGCCGACGUGU